AUGAAUAAUAUAAGUUUUUGAUUAUUACCUCCUGCAUUAACUCUAUUAUUAGUAAGAAGUAUAGUAGAAAAGGGAGCUGGAACAGGUUGAACUGUUUAUCCACCUUUAUCAUCAAUUAUUGCUCAUGGUGGAGCUUCAGUUGAUUUAGCUAUUUUCUCUCUUCACUUAGCAGGAAUUUCUUCAAUUUUAGGAGCAGUAAAUUUUAUUACAACUGUUAUUAACAUACGAUCAACAGGAAUUACAUUCGAUCGAAUGCCUUUAUUUGUUUGAUCAGUUGUAAUUACUGCAUUAUUAUUAUUAUUAUCUCUUCCUGUUCUUGCUGGAGCUAUUACUAUACUAUUAACUGAUCGAAAUUUAAAUACUUCAUUCUUUGAUCCAGCUGGAGGAGGUGAUCCAAUUCUUUAUCAACACUUAUUCUGAUUCUUUGGACAUCCAGAAGUUUAUAUUUUAAUUUUACCUGGAUUUGGAAUAAUUUCUCAUAUUAUUAGUCAAGAAUCAGGAAAGAAGGAAACAUUCGGUUCUUUAGGAAUAAUUUAUGCUAUGUUAGCAAUUGGACUUUUAGGAUUUAUUGUAUGAGCUCAUCACAUAUUUACUGUUGGAAUAGACGUUGAUACUCGAGCUUACUUCACUUCAGCUACAAUAAUUAUUGCUGUACCUACUGGAAUUAAGAUUUUAGUUGAUUAGCUACAUUAUACGGAACUCAACUAACUUAUUCUCCAGCUAUUUUAUGAGCUUUAGGAUUCGUAUUCUUAUUUACUGUAGGAGGUUUAACAGGAGUAGUACUAGCUAACUCAUCUGUUGAUAUUAUUUUACAUGAUACAUAUUAUGUAGUUGCUCAUUUCCACUAUGUACUUUCUAUAGGAGCUGUAUUUGCUAUUAUAGCAGGAUUUGUACAUUGAUACCCUCUAUUUACUGUAUUAACUCUAAAUAAUAAACUUUUAAAAAGUCAAUUUGUUAUUAUAUUUAUUGGAGUAAAUUUAACAUUCUUCCCUCAACAUUUCUUAGGAUUAGCCGGAAUACCUCGACGAUAUUCUGAUUAUCCUGAUGCUUAUACAGCAUGAAAUGUAAUUUCAACAAUCGGUUCAACAAUUUCAUUAUUAGGAAUUUUAUAUUUAUUCUAUAUUAUCUGAGAAAGUUUAGUAUCUCAACGACAAGUAAUUUUCCCAAUUCAAUUAAAUUCAUCAAUUGAAUGAUUACAAAAUACUCCACCUGCUGAACACAGAUAUAAUGAAUUGCCUUUACUAACUAAUUUCUAAUAUGGCAGAUUAGUGCAAUGGAUUUAAGCUCCAUAUAUAAAGUAUUUUACUUUUAUUAGAAACUAAUGUCAACAUGAGCAAAUUUAGGUUUACAAGAUAGUUCUUCUCCAUUAAUAGAACAAUUAAUUUUUUUUCAUGAUCAUGCAUUAAUAAUUUUAGUAAUAAUUACAGUAUUAGUCGGAUAUUUAAUGUUUACAUUAUUUUUUAAUAAAUAUGUUAAUCGUUAUUUAUUACAUGGACAAACAAUUGAAAUUAUUUGAACUAUUUUACCUGCAAUUAUUUUAUUAUUCAUUGCUUUCCCUUCUUUACGAUUAUUAUACUUAUUAGAUGAAAUUAAUGAACCAUCAGUAACUUUAAAGGCUAUUGGUCAUCAAUGAUAUUGAAGUUAUGAAUAUUCAGAUUUUAAUAAUGUUGAAUUUGAUUCUUAUAUAAUUCCUACAAAUGAAUUACCAGUAGACGGAUUUCGUUUAUUAGAUGUAGAUAAUCGAGUAGUUUUACCAAUAAAUUCUCAAAUUCGAAUUUUAGUAACUGCUGCUGAUGUAAUUCAUUCAUGAACUGUUCCUGCUUUAGGUGUAAAGGUUGAUGGUACUCCUGGUCGUCUAAAUCAAACUAAUUUCUUAAUUAAUCGACCAGGUUUAUUCUAUGGACAAUGUUCAGAAAUUUGUGGAGCUAAUCAUAGUUUUAUACCAAUUGUAAUUGAAAGUAUUCCUGUAAAUUAUUUUAUUAAGUGAAUUUCUAAAAAUAAUUCUU